rnacentral:ncRNA from 1 species
ACAGGUUCCCCGAAGGGGGGAUUAAAAGGGAACGGGGUGCAAAUCCUCGACUGUCCCGCAGCGGUAAAUUCCUAAUAUCCAAGCCACUUUGUUGCCACUGGGCAUAAUGCCUGGGAAGGUUGUGUGGCGUUUGGAGGAACAAGUCCGAAGACCUGCCUUUGCAUUUAU